UAAAUCGAGAAUUUCAGCUCGGUAAUAUUAUUUACUGAUUUUAUUCGGUAAAAGAAAAAUUGAACCGAGAGCUCAGUUAACUCAUAAGAAUUAACUGAUUUCUGCAUUCAGUUUUACAGCUGUCUCAGUAGUUCAAAACAAAAAACCGAGUUCCGGUAAUAAGCAUUACUGAUCUACUCUGUUCUAAGAAAAUGUUCUGCACUUGUCAAAAAAUAAGCCGAUCACUCAGUAAAAUCAAAAGUGCUUUACUGAACACCCGUUAAAACGAUUACCGAGCUCAGUUUCCGGCCACAUAUCCCCUGAUGUGACGCGAAUCGGAAUCGAACACGAUUUUUUUUCGGACUUUCAUAGUGGCACCGGAUAAGAAUUUGAUCCUAAAUUCAUGUUCAGGCUGAUAUUCAAACCAGUAUUUCGCGUCGCUGCUGCUGAUGCUUCGUUACCAGUAUUUUACAUCUAAAUUCUAGAUUCGGGUCUAUAAUAAAACCGCAGAUACAAACUUUCUGGACGGCACAAUGCGGUCCUAUGCCACCAUCUUUAAAGUAGCUUCCCGAGGUGUGAGUGAAGAAGCGCUACUGGAGGAAGACGAACAAAUAUUCCCUAAC